AUGCUGAUCGGAGGGCUGGGGAGGCGACACAUGGCUUAUUCCCGUUGGAGCUGGCGUCGCGCUGACGUCAGCGUGACGCGAGGGCUGACGUCAGCGUCCGCGGGCUGGAGCUCGGGCUCGUCUCGCCUUCGGGCUGGCCCGAGUUGGUGGGUCCCACACCCCCCCGGGCUUGGGCUGCGCGGUGGAACGCCAUUUUUUUUUUCCCCUCGCCUCGGGCUGGGCCCUUCCGUUGGACUUGCUCUUAGAGCAACUCCACCCAUUUGCCUUUAGCCAUAGCAAGGGGGGAGCUAGGGCAACUACUAUUCACGUGAAUAGUGGUUGCCCUUGCAAAUAGUAUUUUGUGUUUCCAACCCAUUGCCAUGGCUAAGGGCAAUUACUAUUCAUUUUUUUGUUUUUUUUCACAAAUUUUUUAAUGAAAAUAAUUAAUUUGGAUAAUAUUUUC
rnacentral:lncRNA from 1 species